GACGAACGCGGCGGCGUGCCUAAUACAUGCAAGUAGAACGCUGAAGGAGGAGCUUGCUUCUCUGGAUGAGUUGCGAACGGGUGAGUAACGCGUAGGUAACCUGCCUGGUAGCGGGGGAUAACUAUUGGAAACGAUAGCUAAUACCGCAUAAGAGUAGAUGUUGCAUGACAUUUGCUUAAAAGGUGCAAUUGCAUCACUACCAGAUGGACCUGCGUUGUAUUAGCUAGUUGGUGAGGUAACGGCUCACCAAGGCAACGAUACAUAGCCGACCUGAGAGGGUGAUCGGCCACACUGGGACUGAGACACGGCCCAGACUCCUACGGGAGGCAGCAGUAGGGAAUCUUCGGCAAUGGACGGAAGUCUGACCGAGCAACGCCGCGUGAGUGAAGAAGGUUUUCGGAUCGUAAAGCUCUGUUGUAAGAGAAGAACGAGUGUGAGAGUGGAAAGUUCACACUGUGACG
rnacentral:rRNA from 1 species